GUGGGGAAUAUUGGACAAUGGGCGAAAGCCUGAUCCAGCCAUGCCGCGUGUGUGAAGAAGGUCUUCGGAUUGUAAAGCACUUUAAGUUGGGAGGAAGGGCAGUAAGUUAAUACCUUGCUGUUUUGACGUUACCGACAGAAUAAGCACCGGCUAACUUCGUGCCAGCAGCCGCGGUAAUACGAAGGGUGCAAGCGUUAAUCGGAAUUACUGGGCGUAAAGCGCGCGUAGGUGGUUUUGUAAGUUGGAGGUGAAAUCCCCGGGCUCAACCUGGGAACUGCCUCCAAAACUGCAUGACUAGAGUACGGUAGAGGGUAGUGGAAUUUCCUGUGUAGCGGUGAAAUGCGUAGAUAUAAGAAGGAACACCAGUGGCGAAGGCGACUACCUGGACUGAUACUGACACUGAGGUGCGAAAGCGUGGGGAGCAAACAGGAUUAGAAACCCCGGUAGUCC
rnacentral:rRNA from 1 species